CACACUUUCUAACUAAUCUAGGACUUCAAAACAAAUGGGGAUUUGAUUUGGACGAAAAUAACUAAAUGGGCAGAUUGUGAAACAAAAACAGAUUGUAAGAUAAAAUUGUAAUGAAUCAACGGAUGAUGGAAUAGCUAAGGUGUUCUUCUCCACACAUGAAAUAUAUGCAACCUAAAUCGAUUUCCAGUUAUCAAAUUAAUAAGUUAUGAAUCUCGACACUCCAAGUUAAUUAGGUCCGCUUAAAUUAACCUUCAGAUUUCCCUAGAAUCAUUGAAUUGGAUGAAUAUGCAUCGCAAACAAAUUAUUCCUAACAAGUUCUCUAUAUGAACAGCAUGAUAAAGAUACAAGUUAGAAUCAUUACGUUCUUUGGAAAUCAUAAGCAUCGACAAGGCAUUCGUAACUAUGAAAAGCAUGAUACUCUUGCCAGGAAUCUACUUAACACGAUCGUGACUAGCGACCUUCACUACUUGCGAAUAUAAAUUCAUAAUGAUUAGGUGAAACAAACUUAUAUCCUAGCACCAAAUUCAAGCAUGCAAAUUAAGCGUGCACUCUCAAUCAACAUACAAGAAUAAGUUCUAAAUCAAACGGUUAAGCAAAUUGUAUUCACGAUUUAUGCAACGAUAACUGGAAGUAAUCAACUUAUUUCACAUAUAUAAUCAUGGUUUUGAAUCCACCCUUAGCCAAAACGAAUUUAGCCAAUCAUACUUAAAGCAAAACAAAGAUUACAUGAAUUAGACAGUGAAAUAUAAGAUAGAAAACACCUAAAAUCGUUCAACAACUCAGAUUGAAAAGCCAAACAAUUGUAGAGAAUCUGUCCCCUUUGUUGCUUGCGGCAGAUUGUUUGGUGAUGCUUCUUGGAUUGUUUUGAUGACGUAGAAUGGAAUUUGGGGGGUGUAGAGGCACGGCAAGGGUUGUAGGAUGAGUGGUGGAUGGAUGGAAGAUGGUGGAAAGCUCGGCAAGAAUGGUGGAAAGGUGCGGCAGAUUAUAGAACUAGGGUUUCUAGAAUUUUGAAUGAAUGUAGCAGGUUGUUUGGGAUGGUUUUGGAUGAGGUUGAAUGGUGGAAAAGUGUCUAGGAUGGGUGUAUGGCACGGCUAGGGGGGUUUGGGGUCAGAAACUAUGGAGUUUUGUGAAGGAUAGGUGCGGUUAGGGAUGGUGGAUGAAUUCUGGCGUGAAUGGAGUUGUAUGGAUGUGUGUGGAAUGUUUUGUGGCUGCAACAAGGAGGUUUAUUUAAAGGAAAACAGAAAUUAAAACCCUAGGUUGAUUAGGAAAUCAGAAAUUAAGUCUAAGGAUUCUAGAAUUAGGAAAUAAAUCAGAAAAUUAAAGGAAAGAGCAAGGGAAAUUCGGCUAGGGUUUAAAACACAAAAGGAAGGUGUUUUAAAGCAUAAAAACAGGAAAUAAGGAAGAGGAAAUGCAAAGGGGGGGUGCGGCAAGGGUUCAAAAGGGUUCCAGGCUUUUGUUUUGUGUCCUAGAAUGCUUAGAAAGUCUUCAUAAUUGCUGGAACUUUUAGGGACAUUUAGGAAAAAUCAAACCAAAGUAGGAAACUUUGGCUUAACUUUCCUAUUUCAAGUAGGAAUCCUUGUUGGAGUAGGAAUCCUUGUUCUUCUAGGAAUCCUCAUGUGAUUAGGAAUCCAUCUUCCAUUAGGAAUCCUUCUUGGAGUAGGAAUCCUUCGUCGAUUAGGAAUCCUUCUUCAAUUAGGAAUCCUUCUUCAUGUAAGCACUUUCCUACUUCAACUAGGAAACCUUGUUCAAGUAGGAAUCAUCAUCUUCAAAUCUUCAAAUUCGUCCAAACCUUGGCUCCAAUUAUGUGAUAAUCAUUCCAAGCCCAAUUUUUCUCCAAAAAACUCCAAAAUGCAUCUUCUUGCAUCCUUUGGCCUUAAAACCUGAAAACACAUAAAACUAGCUUAAAAGACUACUUUAACUAAGAAAACACCAUGGAAAUGCAUAAGAACUAGCUAACUAAGGCGCAUAAAUAUGCUCCUAUCAACAACCCAAACAUUCCCCACAAGUCCCCUACAUGAUUGCAUAAUAGAGAUACAAGCAAGAAUCAUUAAGUUCUAUGAAAACCAUAAGCACUGACGAAGCACUUGUUACUAUGAUUGCAUGAAACUUAUGCCAAGAAUUUACUUAACACGAUUGAGAUCAUCAACCUUUACUACUUGCGAAUAUAAGUCCAUAACGAUUAGGUGAAAUUUCCUUAUAUCCUAGCAUUCAAUUUAUGCAUGAUAAUUAAGCGUGCACUCUCAACCAACACACACAAAUCAAUGUAAUUCACAUAGAUAAGUAAAUUGAAUUCACAACUUAUGAAACGCAAUUAGAAGUAAUCAAAUCAUAUCGCAAGCAUAAACAUGUAUUUCAAGUGCUAUUUGGGAUCCUCCAUGGACAACCCAUGGUACUUCAGAAUAUGGUACAGCAAGCUUGACUUCAACUCGAAUUCCUCGGUCUUGCCUUGAGCAGCCGCGGGAUAUUGGAUGCAUAGGGGUAUGGCAUUGUCCAAUCCCAAAGCGGAAAUCUCCUUGAUCGUUCGGUUGUCCGCUGCCAUGUUUUGCACUACUUCACCCACCCUUGCCGUGGGUUCUUCUUCCUUAAACUCAGAUUCGGCCUCUGAAUGUGAACUUGAUUCACUAGGUUCUGGAUUUUUCCUCUUUCGUCUCAACUCUCCCUCGAAAUCGUUGUCAAAGUCCAAGAUAUGUUCACGAACCAGAUGAGAACUCCGAGUCAUAAACUAGUACCUAAGAACAAGGAAAAAAACUAGGUCAGAAUCUGGAAUUAAUUAAAACAAAACAAAAUAAAAGAUCCACGGGAUUAGCAACUUUGCUAAUCCCCGGCGACGGCGCCAAAAAUUUGAUGCGAAAUAUAUAAGCACACAAAUUAAACCCUUUUUUAUCAAUUGUAGCAAAGUAUGUAAGUAGGGAUCGUUCUAGGCCGGGGAUUAGGAGGGAUUGCUAAAACACUUAAAACUGAGUCAAAAACGUAAAACAAAGUUUGAAACACUAAAUUAGACUGAAAGAAUGCAAAACUAAACUAGAAAACACUAAAGCUACUCAACAGACUCAAAUCUGCCUAAAAACACAAAUUGGGCAGAUUUGAAUUCUAACACUCUUUUGGACGAAUUUUGGGUUUUCCUAGACUCAAAACACUUAAAAACACAAUCUAAAACAUAUUCUAACUAGUUAAACACUCUAAAGUAAGGGGGAUUUGGUUUUGGACGAAAAUCAAAUAAAAUAAAACAAGAAUGACUUAAACAGAUUUUGGACGAAAUUGGGUGAAUUACAUGGAUGAAUGGCUAGCUAGGAGGGUCUUCUCCACACAUGUCACACUUGCAUACAAAACGAUUUCCAAUUGCUUUUCAAUAAACCAUGAAUUCUCAACGCCCUAGAUGAACCGUGAAUUGCACUAAUUAACCCUCAGAUUUUCCUAAUUUCAUUGAAUUGGAUGAUUGCAUACAAAAACCCAAAGCAUUCCCCACAAGUUCCCUACAUGAAUUGCACAAUAGAGAUACAAGCAAAGAUCAUUAUGUUCUAUGAAAAUCAUAAGCAUUGACGAGGCACUUGUUACUAUGAAUUGCAUGAAACUUAUGCCAAGAAUUUACUUAACGCGAUUGUGAUUAGCAACCUUUACUACUCAUGAAUAUAAGUUCAUAACAAUUAGGUGAAACUCCCUUAUAUCCUAACAUCAGAUUUAUGCAUGAAAAUUAAGCGUGCACUCUCAACCAACACACACAAAUAAGUUUUAAUUUAUAUAGAUAAGCAAAUUGAAUUCACAACUUAUGAAACGCAACUGAAAGUAAUCAAAUCAUAUAGCAAGCAUAAACAUGGUUUAGAAUUCCCCCUAGCUAAGAGGGGUUUAGUUCCUCAUACUCACAAAUAAACAAAGAUAACUUAAAUUAAACAUUGAAAUCAAAGAUAGAAAACACCUAGAAACGCUCCAACAAUCCAACGUCUUGAAUGGCAAGCACGGCUCUAGGGACUCCUCUCCUUUCUCUUUUCAAAUCUGCAGCACUAGAGGGAUGUAUGGCGUGAAAUUGUGAUGGAAGAUGGUCUGAAUUGUGGUGAAUGGUUGUUUACGAAUUUGUGAUGAAAGGUGGAUGGUGUAGUGAUCUGAUGGUAGAGGGUGGUAGAUUAAUUGCUACACAAAAGUUUGUAUUUAUAGGGUUAGGGAAACCCACGAAUUUUUGAAGGAAAGGAAUGUGUAUUUGGCACAAUUCAUGAAGGAAAAGGACUAGGGUUCACCCAAAUCUGAAGGGAAAAGGAUUGCACAAUUGAUGUGAAAAUUAUGUUGACACACAAAUUAAACCCUAUUUGUGACAAUUGUAGUAAUGAUGUAAGUAGGGAUUGUUCUAACCGGGGAUUAACUAUGGGUGCUAAUCUAAUAUAAAUUGAUUUAAAAACACAAAAACUAAACUUAAAGACUCUAACAAGACUACUAUGACUCAAAACAGAUUUGAAACACUCAAAACUGCCUAAAACAAUCAAAUUGACUCAAAAAGAAACUAGAACUUGAUUUGGACGAAUUUGAAAGUGUUUAUGACUCCAAAUGCUUAAAAACACAAAAUAAAACAGAUUUGAAUGACUAAGACUCAACAAAAUAUGGGAGGAUUGUGUUUGGAUGAAAUUAAAUUAAAUGGGCAGAUUGUAAAGAAAACAGAUUGUAAGACAAAAUUGUGAUGAAUCAAUGGAUGAUGGAAUAGCUAAGGGGUUCUUCUCCACACAUGAAAUAUAUGCAACGUAAAUCAAUUUCCAGUUAUCAAUUUAAUAAGUUAUGAACCUCGACACUCCAAGUUAAUUAGGUCCGCUUAAAUUAACCUUCAGAUUUCCCUAGAAUCAUUGAAUUGGAUGAAUAUGCAUCACAAACAAAUUAUUCCUAACAAGUUCUCUAUAUGAACAGCAUGAUAAAGACACAAGUUAGAAUCAUUACAUUCUUUGGAAAUCAUAAGCAUCGACAAGGCAUUUGUAACUAUGAAAAGCAUGAUACUCUUGCCAGGAAUCUA
rnacentral:lncRNA from 1 species